rnacentral:rRNA from 1 species
AAAAAAGGUAAGCUACUAAGAGCGAAUGGUGGAUGCCUUGACUGGUAAAGGCGAUGAAGGACGUACUAGACUGCGAUAAGCUACGGGGAGCUGUCAAGAAGCUUUGAUCCGUAGAUUUCCGAAUGGGGCAACCCAAUGUAUAGAGAUAUACAUUACCUAUAUAGGAGCGAACGAGGGGAAUUGAAACAUCUUAGUACCCUCAGGAAAAGAAAUCAAUAGAGAUUGCGUCAGUAGCGGCGAGCGAAAGCGCAAGAGGGCAAACCCAGUGCUUGCACUGGGGGUUGUAGGACUGCAAUGUGCAAGAGGUAAGUUUAGCAGAACAUUCUGGAAAGUAUAACCAUAGAGGGUGAUAGUCCCGUAUGCGAAAAACAAACCUUAGCUAGCAGUAUCCUGAGUAGGGCGGGACACGAGGAAUCCUGUCUGAAUCCGGGUCGACCACGAUCCAACCCUAAAUACUAAUACCAGAUCGAUAGUGCACAAGUACCGUGAGGGAAAGGUGAAAAGAACUGAGGUGAUCAGAGUGAAAUAGAACCUGAAACCAUUUGCUUACAAUCAUUCAGAGCCCUAUGUAGCAAUACAGGGUGAUGGACUGCCUUUUGCAUAAUGAGCCUGCGAGUUGUGGUGUCUGGCAAGGUUAAGCAAACGCGAAGCCGUAGCGAAAGCGAGUCUGAAUAGGGCGCUUAGUCAGAUGCUGCAGACCCGAAACGAAGUGAUCUAUCCAUGAGCAAGUUGAAGCUAGUGUAAGAACUAGUGGAGGACUGAACCCAUAGGCGUUGAAAAGCCCCGGGAUGACUUGUGGAUAGGGGUGAAAGGCCAAUCAAACUUCGUGAUAGCUGGUUCUCUCCGAAAUAUAUUUAGGUAUAGCGUUGUGUCGUAAUAUAAGGGGGUAGAGCACUGAAUGGGCUAGGGCAUACACCAAUGUACCAAACCCUAUCAAACUCCGAAUACCUUAUAUGUAAUCACAGCAGUCAGGCGGCGAGUGAUAAAAUCCGUCGUCAAGAGGGAAACAACCCAGACUACCAGCUAAGGUCCCUAAAUCUUACUUAAGUGGAAAACGAUGUGAAGUUACUUAAACAACCAGGAGGUUGGCUUAGAAGCAGCCAUCCUUUAAAGAAAGCGUAAUAGCUCACUGGUCUAGUGAUUUUGCGCGGAAAAUAUAACGGGGCUAAAGUAAGUACCGAAGCUGUAGACUUGCACACAACUUAGAUUAUUUAAGUUUAGAAUAUGAGAAACUAAGUUAUAUGUUUAGUUAUAUUUUUACUGAUUUUUAUAGAGUAAAGAUAGAAAUAAAACUUAGUAAAAUCAGUAAAAAUAUUCUUAGACUAAAGUUAAGUAGUUUAAGUUGUGUGCAAGUGGUAGGAGAGCGUUCUAUUUGCGUCGAAGGUAUACCGGUAAGGAGUGCUGGAGCGAAUAGAAGUGAGCAUGCAGGCAUGAGUAGCGAUAAUUAAUGUGAGAAUCAUUAACGCCGUAAACCCAAGGUUUCCUACGCGAUGCUCGUCAUCGUAGGGUUAGUCGGGUCCUAAGUCGAGUCCGAAAGGGGUAGACGAUGGCAAAUUGGUUAAUAUUCCAAUACCAACAUUAGUGUGCGAUGGAAGGACGCUUAGGGCUAAGGGGGCUAGCGGAUGGAAGUGCUAGUCUAAGGUCGUAGGAGGUUAUACAGGCAAAUCCGUAUAACAAUACUCCGAGAACUGAAAGGCUUUUUGAAGUCUUCGGAUGGAUAGAAGAACCCCUGAUGCCGUCGAGCCAAGAAAAGUUUCUAAGUUUAGCUAAUGUUGCCCGUACCGUAAACCGACACAGGUGGGUGGGAUGAAUAUUCUAAGGCGCGUGGAAGAACUCUCUUUAAGGAACUCUGCAAAAUAGCACCGUAUCUUCGGUAUAAGGUGUGGUUAGCUUUGUAUUAGGAUUUACUCCGAAAGCAAGGAAACUUACAACAAAGAGUCCCUCCCGACUGUUUACCAAAAACACAGCACUCUGCUAACUCGUAAGAGGAUGUAUAGGGUGUGACGCCUGCCCGGUGCUCGAAGGUUAAUUGAUGGGGUUAGCAUUAGCGAAGCUCUUGAUCGAAGCCCGAGUAAACGGCGGCCGUAACUAUAACGGUCCUAAGGUAGCGAAAUUCCUUGUCGGUUAAAUACCGACCUGCAUGAAUGGCGUAACGAGAUGGGAGCUGUCUCAAAGAGGGAUCCAGUGAAAUUGUAGUGGAGGUGAAAAUUCCUCCUACCCGCGGCAAGACGGAAAGACCCCGUGGACCUUUACUACAGCUUGACACUGCUACUUGGAUAAGAAUGUGCAGGAUAGGUGGGAGGCUUUGAGUAUAUGACGCCAGUUGUAUAUGAGCCAUUGUUGAGAUACCACUCUUUCUUAUUUGGGUAGCUAACCAGCUUGAGUUAUCCUCAAGUGGGACAAUGUCUGGUGGGUAGUUUGACUGGGGCGGUCGCCUCCCAAAUAAUAACGGAGGCUUACAAAGGUUGGCUCAGAACGGUUGGAAAUCGUUCGUAGAGUAUAAAGGUAUAAGCCAGCUUAACUGCAAGACAUACAAGUCAAGCAGAGACGAAAGUCGGUCUUAGUGAUCCGGUGGUUCUGUGUGGAAGGGCCAUCGCUCAAAGGAUAAAAGGUACCCCGGGGAUAACAGGCUGAUCUCCCCCAAGAGCUCACAUCGACGGGGAGGUUUGGCACCUCGAUGUCGGCUCAUCGCAUCCUGGGGCUGGAGCAGGUCCCAAGGGUAUGGCUGUUCGCCAUUUAAAGCGGUACGCGAGCUGGGUUCAGAACGUCGUGAGACAGUUCGGUCCCUAUCUGCCGUGGGCGUAAGAAGAUUGAAGAGAUUUGACCCUAGUACGAGAGGACCGGGUUGAACAAACCACUGGUGUAGCUGUUGUUCUGCCAAGAGCAUCGCAGCGUAGCUAAGUUUGGAAAGGAUAAACGCUGAAAGCAUCUAAGCGUGAAGCCAACUCUAAGAUGAAUCUUCUCUAAGCUCUCUAGAAGACUACUAGUUUGAUAGGCUGGGUGUGUAAUGGAUGAAAGUCCUUUAGCUGACCAGUACUAAUAGAGCGUUUGGCUUAUCUUUAAUAAAGCAU